GAAAGAAUUGCCCCCUGAGAGAAACCAAGAAGACCAUCGAAAGGUCCAUGUUUGAUCAUACAUUCUUCUAUGUAUUCAAGACAUUUAUCAAAAUUCUCAUACUCUGUAAAUUCCUUAUUGAAUUGAAACCACUCGUAAUAGGGAGGGUCAAAGAUGCCUUCAACUUCAGAUUUUCCUUGAGAUGGAAAAGGCGCAUCAACAAAAACUAGAUCUAAUUUAUCCACAACUUCAGUUGGCCAUUUAUCAAAUAUUUGCUUCUUCAAAAUUUUCCCACUUGUUCGAAACCCAUGAAGGCACAAAAAUCUGGGUAAUUUCCUCUGAUUGGCGUUGGCAGUUCCUUCACCUGCCAUGGUGGCGGCUGAAUUUGCCAUAUUCAUAGUGUUCCCGUACAUUUUGGAGAAAAUUUUGGGUAAAUAGUACAGUAUCU
rnacentral:misc_RNA from 1 species